UGACAGUUUCUGGACUGGCUUGAAGAGGUGAAGUCAGUUAAAAUAAUCAAACAGGCUCAUAGCUGAAAGGAACUUGCCUGAGUCUUCAAUGAGACUGGAUUUUGGACUUUAGAGUUAAUGCUGGGACAAGUUAAGACUUUUGAGACUACUGAGAUGAAAUGACGUAUGUGAGAAGAAUAUGAGUUGAGGGGGAGGGGAAGAAUGCUUUGGUUUGGAUAGCAUUUGGAUGAUUGCUUUGGUCCCACCACAACACCUUGAAAUUUGGUCCCCAGUGUGGCAGUGU
rnacentral:lncRNA from 10 species